UUGUCUGUGGGUUAUACUUUAAUUUUAGUGUUAGCAAGGAUAUAAGGUUUCAUAUUAACAACUAGCGAUUUGGGGUGCUAAUGAUAGUUCAGGGGAAUGGAGGCGUUUGGUUUAUAUGCGAUUAUGAUUUCUUCGUUUUUAUUUUUCUUUAUUUUAUUCAUCUAAUUGCUCCUUUUAGAGCACUGCCAAUGACCCUCCAUAUUGUUUGAUAUCAAUGGUCUUUAGAGUAAGAAAACUUCUUUAAAUGGUCUUUAGAGUAAGAAAGCUUCCAUAAUAUAUACAAUUCGAUUCAUGUUAUGUAUAUUUAUUAAUCAAUUUAUAUGGUAUCAGGUGAAACCUAGAGGCACUGUUUAGAUGACACAUCGGAGACACACAAGAUUGAUGAAGAAGGAAAUGAAGAUUCAAGAAUAUAAGUGUAAGGGGAAAAAUAUGCUAUCUUGUAUUCAGACAUUCAUUGAAGUGAUUCAUCAAAGUCGACAACGACGAUUAGCUAGAGAUACAUGUUCGACAUUAAAGUUAUAGGCUACGAUGAAAAUUUACAAUUAGUAUUAUCUUGUAGACUUUUAGGAGAUGUUUAAUGCACAAUUGUAUUCAUGUUAUUGAGCUCUAAAUAG
rnacentral:lncRNA from 1 species